CAACGGUUACAGAAGAUAAAAAAAUGUAACUGGUAUUAAAAUGGGAACAUUUAUAAAAAAGAAUAAAUUGAAUAAUAGUUCCAAGUGGUUUACAUUUGGACAAAAAAUUAGACCGUAGUUUGAAGCUGC
rnacentral:sRNA from 1 species